UGUGGAUGCUGCAUUUCCUGAAUGUUAAGUAGGAGCGACACUGUGUAAUUUUGCUAAUCCUUUUCCAGAAGUAGGAUUUUGUGAAAUGACAGGACUGCAAAGCAAACCAUCGAGCAGUAGCCAAGAGAACAGCGAAAGAGGAAGAAAAAAGUCCUGGAAAGGAUCAGAAAUAGAGCAGCCCACGAACUGCUGUCUUGGGAGGAAGAACUUCGCAGAUGAAAAAACAAACUUGGAGAAGUCAAACGACUCGCCAGAAGUCAUUCAGUAAUUUGACAGCCAAGAUCUGGAAGCCAGUUCUUCCAGGGCUCUGCUCAGCUCCAAGACCCGAAUUAAAACAGCACUUCAGCCGUGAAGCAUCCCUGACAGCCAGACCUGCAUCCCUGCAUCUCUCUCCCCUCCAGCUCCUAUGGGCGUUCUGGGGUGCCCACGAUGAGCUACAUUGUGAUCCCUGAGCCCUUUGACUCCAUUGUCAACACCCAUUGCCUAAACCAGUGGUUCUCACUAGGGCAAUGUCUGCCGCCUAGGAGACACUUGGCAGUGUCUGGAGAAAUUUUUAUGGUUAUGAUCUGGGGGAGGCACCUAGCGAGUGGAGGCCAGGGGUGUUGCUGAACAUCCUACAAUGCAUAGGACAGCUGCCCACACAAAAAAUUAUCUAGCCCAGAUGUCAAUAGUGCUGAGGCUGAGAAACCCUGUCCUGAGCUGGCCCUGAAUGAGUGCCUUGAGGGCAGGGCUGUGUCUUGUUUAAUGCUGUGCGCCAGGCUCUAUGACCCAGGCUCUAUGACCCCUGGCACACAGGAGGUACUCAAAUGUUGAUGAGGUGGAAUGGUUAGGGGGUGGGUCUAAAGAGAAAGCCAAUCUUGGCCCCAGUAGUGCACAGCUGAGUCAGGGAAGGGACCACAUGCACAAGGCUCUCCUCCACACAAACAACUCAACCGAGACAGGAUGGCCCUGACGUGGAUUGCUGAGAGGGGCUUCACGAGUGUGGGUAGAGGGCCUUAGAAUUGUUUGUUUACUUGGGCUGUUAAGGUAGCAAGAACAGAAACCCAGGGCUCCUUGAGAGAUGGAACGUUCACUGUAAAGAGAUGUGGGAAUAGAAACCAGGCCUUAGGAAAAGCAGAGCAGCUGCAGGAAGGCUGGACUGGGAACUGUCACCCUGGCAACUUCCAUUAAGAAGAUGAAGGUAAAGCCCUGUCUCUUCCUUCCAUCCGGCCCCACCCUACCCCCAGGUUCAUUCAGACUUUCCUGGUUACCCUUGACCUGGGCCCCUACCAGGGCCAACUUAUCCAUUAGUCGCAGUGCCUAAGGCCCUCGAUGCUUUUUAGGAGCCCACAGAAGUGUUUUAAUUUUAAUUUCUUUUAAAAUUAGAAG